AAAGUCCAUCUCUUCUUCAAUCCAGAUUAACAUCCGCCUUCAUAUUCGGAUCUAUCUAGGUCUCUCCCUCCAACUGGGAUACAAGUCAACCAUCCAAUCUCCUCUAGUUGAGCAGGAUUGCAGGAAGGCUGGAAGGCGGACGGACAACGUCGGGAAGGCGGACGGACAACGUCGGGAAGGCGGCGGCAGACAGGGGUGCGGCGGGAAGGCGGCGACGAACAGGGGAGCGAUGGCUUUGCGGGCAGAGCAGAAGGGAGAAGCAGCAAGCCCGCGCUAGGAAGGCUGCAACUCAUCAGCUAGCGCCCCUGCUCCUCUGGCUGCUCCUCCAGCCGCCCGUGUUCUCCCUCACUGCGUAUGACGGCGAGACUGGCCUCUGAGCAGAUUUGUCACGGACAAGAAUCAGUGUUGUUGAAUCCAAUAAAGAAUAUAUGAUGGAAGAACCAAUCGAACAUCAUAAUUCUGUUGAAAAAGAUGUCGAAUCAUCUGAUGUCCAUGAAAGAACUACUAAUGACAAAUAAAUAUUCACAUAUUGUGUGAUGUUGAUGCGGAUGAAAAUGAAGAUGAAACUGAAGUAUUAUUGAAGAGCCCGAAAAACCAUAAUAUGGCGUAGUUCUUGCUACAAUUAUAUGUUGUGAUCCUAAAUUUUAAACUUGACAGUGCUGGAAUUAGGAAUUACUUUUGGGCCGUGCAUGUCGAUAUGGAGAGAAAACACGGAUUGCAUGGACUUCAACCUUUAUUCAAGAGAUAACUGGAUGAGUAUGCAGGUGUGUGGCAAGUACACUUCAAUGAUGAUGUUGAUGUUCUGGUUCAUGAUGAUGAUGGAUGCUUUCACUUUUAGUUGUAGUGAUGUUGACGUUCAUGUUAGAUGUUGUUCCUCGAUUACUAGUUUUAAUUAAGUUGUAGGAAUGUUGAAGGAUGCUUAGUUUAAGUUUCUUUGUCAAGAAAAUGGGUAGAUUAUGCAUCGCAUCUGGAUGAUGUUUCUCCUGUAAUAUCCACUAUUGUAAUCCAACAUUUUUAUCUAGUAUAUCGUUUUUCCUCUUA